rnacentral:rRNA from 1 species
UGAGUGCGAGCUGCUACGGCAGCGAAGUUGGUGACGUCAUGCUUCCAAGAAAAGCCCUAUACCCGUUAAGGCAUCAUGGCCUGCACCCGAAACCGACACAGGUGGGGUGGUAGAGAAUACCGAGGGGCGCGAGGUAACUCUCUCUAAGGAACUCGGCAAAAUGGCCCCGUAACUUCGGGAGAAGGGGUGCCACCGCAAGGUGGUCGCAGUGAAGAGGCCCAGGCGACUGUUUACCAAAAACACAGGUCUCCGCUAAGUCGCAAGACGAUGUAUGGGGGCUGACGCCUGCCCAGUGCCGGAAGGUUAAGGAAGCUGGUCAGCGCAAGCGAAGCUAGCGACUGAAGCCCCGGUGAACGGCGGCCGUAACAAUAACGGUCCUAAGGUAGCGAAAUUCCUUGUCGGGUAAGUUCCGACCCGCACGAAAGGCGUAACGAUCUGGGCGCUGUCUCGGAGAGAGGCUCGGCGAAAUAGAAUUGUCUGUGAAGAUGCGGACUACGUGCACCCGGACAGAAAGACCCUAUGAAGCUUUACUGUAGCUUGGUAUUGUGCCCGGGCUCGCAAUGCGCAGGAUAGGUGGGAGGCUUUGAUCAUCGGCUUGCGGGUCGAUGUGAGCCAACGGUGAGAUACCACUCUUUGCGAGCUAGGGUUCUAACGGCCACCCGUCAUCCGGGGGCCGGACAGUACCUGGUGGGCAGUUUGACUGGGGCGGUCGCCUCCUAAAAGGUAACGGAGGCGCGCAAAGGUUUGCUCAGGCUGGUUGGAAAUCAGCCGACGAGUGUAAAAGCAGAAGCAAGCUUGACUGUGAGACCAACAAGUCGAACAGGGAGGAAACUCGGCUUUAGUGAUCCGACGGUUCUGAGUGGAAGGGCCGUCGCUCAACGGAUAAAAGUUACUCUAAGGAUAACAGGCUGAUCUCCCCCAAGAGUUCACAUCGACGGGGAGGUUUGGCACCUCGAUGUCGGCUCAUCGCAACCUGGGGCUGAAGUCGGUCCCAAGGGUUGGGCUGUUCGCCCAUUAAAGCGGUACGCGAGCUGGGUUCAGAACGUCGUGAGACAGUUCGGUCCAUAUCCGGUGCACGCGCAGGAAUAUUGAGAGGAUUUCUCCCUAGUACGAGAGGACCGGGAGGAACGCACCUCUGGUGUACCAGUUAUCGUGCCAACGGUAAACGCUGGGUAGCCAUGUGCGGAGUGGAUAACCGCUGAAAGCAUCUAAGUGGGAAGCCCACCUCAAGAUGAGUAUUCCCAUGGCGUAAGCCAGUAAGGUCACGGGAAGAACACCCGUUGAUAGGCUCUAUGUGGAAGCGCAGUAAUGCGUGAAGCAGAGGAGUACUAAUAGACCGAGGGCUUGACC